AAUAAGCAUGCGUAAAGGCUCGCCCUCUAUCCUCCGCCACGUUCCUGCACUCAGUGCGCGUGCGCUACCGGAACCCGGAGGCGGCUCUGGGCUCCGCCCGUCUAUUUAGCACUCGACAGGUCGGCGAAUGGCUCCAGGAGUUGCGCCCGCGCUGUGGACGCCUCUACCGGAAGUGGGCGGGAUUGUGUUCCAAAGCCAGAGGGCGGAGGGAGACAGCGCGGCAAAGGCGAGUGUGGCUGAAUGGAAAGCUCAAUUUGGGGACUGUCGAAAAGGCCCUGCUGCAGAAUUACUGAGCCUAGAAAUGUAGAGGCCAGAAUAUGAUCAAAAGGAGCUUGAUUUUUGAUUUUAGAAAAAUUUUACAAUAUUAUUCUUGUUUACAGGUGUGUUAAAUAAAAGUUUUAGGGAGAAA